rnacentral:rRNA from 1 species
GCAUAUCAAUAAGCGGAGGAAAAGAAACCAACAGGGAUUGCCCUAGUAACGGCGAGUGAAGCGGCAACAGCUCAAAUUUGAAAUCUGGCCCUCGGGUCCGAGUUGUAAUUUGUAGAGGAUGCUUUUGGGCAACCACCGGUCUAAGUUCCUUGGAACAGGACGUCAUAGAGGGUGAGAAUCCCGUAUGUGACCGGCUUAGGUACCCUAUGUAAAGCUCCUUCGACGAGUCGAGUUGUUUGGGAAUGCAGCUCUAAAUGGGAGGUAAAUUUCUUCUAAAGCUAAAUACCGGCGAGAGACCGAUAGCGCACAAGUAGAGUGAUCGAAAGAUGAAAAGCACUUUGGAAAGAGAGUUAAAAAGCACGUGAAAUUGUUGAAAGGGAAGCGCUUGCAAUCAGACUUGUCCUUGGAUGUUCCGCCGGUCUUCUGACCGGUCUACUCAUACUUGGACAGGCCAGCAUCACUUUUGGCGGCCGGAUAAAGGCUCUGGGAACGUAGCUCGCCCUUCGGGGUGAGUGUUAUAGCCCGGUGUGUAAUACGGCCAGCUGGGAGUGAGGUCCGCGCUUCGGCUAGGAUGCUGGCGUAAUGGUUGUAAGCGGCCCGUCUUGAAACACGGACCAAGGAGUCUAACAUCUAUGCGAGUGUUCGGGUGUCAAACCCCUACGCGUAAUGAAAGUGAACGGAGGUGGGAACCGCAAGGUGCACCAUCGACCGAUCCUGAUGUCUUCGGAUGGAUUUGAGUAAGAGCAUAGCUGUUGGGACCCGAAAGAUGGUGAACUAUGCCUGAAUAGGGUGAAGCCAGAGGAAACUCUGGUGGAGGCUCGCAGCGGUUCUGACGUGCAAAUCGAUCGUCAAAUUUGGGUAUAGGGGCGAAAGACUAAUCG